rnacentral:misc_RNA from 1 species
GGAAAAGACAAUAAAACUAAAUUUUGCAAAUCAACUCCAUAAAUAGUCAAGGACAAAGUGGUAAUUGAAGCAGAUCCAAAUCAAAUUGGAUUCCACCAUUCAAUUCAAAACUCCCUUUUAAUGUAUUUAUAUAGACAUGGAGAUUCUUGGUGGCAACUCCUAUACAUUUUCUGCACCAAUGCCACCAACAAAACCACAGAGAGGGAAUGAAGGUACAAAAAUGGAUGUAAUUGUUUUAAAGUGGCCAAAGAAAACAGAGAAGAAAUAGAGAUAUCUCCAACGUCCAAAGCUCAAUAAGAACAUGAAGCAAGAAAUCCUCAGCAAGAAUAGAAUUAAGGAAGAUAUCAGCUGAGUUUCUGCUUCUCCAAAAUCCAUUUUCUGAUUCUGCCAAUACAUUGCAUAUCAAACUUUACAUACAACUGCUGUGAUUUCUUGCACACCGUCUCGACAUAUUUAUCAAUAAAAUCUUGGUACCUCUCAUAGAGUGCAGGAAUUGUAAGUAUGAUAAGAAGACCUGUCAGAAAGGAAAGCACAAAAUCAGCAUUAGCUAUGGAAAAAGAACAAAGUCAACCUCAAUAUUGACAAAAUUUUGCUUAUGCUCUUCUUUUUCUUCUCUAUCUUUUUGCUUCAGUUGUCAAUCCAUUGCCAAGUUUAACAUUAUAAUUGAAAGAGACGUGAAACUUACUGGUGUAACCCAAAGUAAGAAAAUCAGCUAAGCCACCAACAAUAGAUAUCAGCAACAGGUAACCAGCUACUUGAAAGAAUAAAUUUGUGUCCUUACCCAGGGCAAUGUCCUGGGAAACUGAGAGAAGAGCAUUCAAGUGAGUGCGGAUGAAAGCCGCAACUUCAUUUACCAUUUCUUCUGAGAGAUGCAACUCUGGUAAAGGUGGAGACGGUCUGCUCAUGGAAAGGAACAAGUCUAAAGGGUUUACCAAAGAAAAUAAAGAAAAAUAGGAAACUGAUCACUCGGAAAACUUGUAGUGUUUAGAAGUAGAUACCCUACAUGAAAUAAGUGUCAAAUUCAACAUCAAUGGCACUUGCUUAGAAGAGAAAACCAAGAAUAACUCUUCCCUUUCAUUUAAAGUAGCCUCUGCUGUGAAAGGGGAGGAAAGGAAAUGCUGGCAACAAAUUUUAAAGAGUGAAUUUUGUGACUAAACAAACAGACAAACUCAAAGUUUCAUCAUCUGCCUGUGGAUUGAUAAUAACUAGACCAUAACAAAAUUCAAGGUCACCACCAAACUAGUUCGUUCAUAUCGAUUGAGAUGAACGAAACAAAUUUAAUCUCAGUUUAUUAGUUAGUUGGUUGUGCAACUCAUAGGAUGACUAAGGUACAAUGAAAUUGGGCAUAAAAGAAUUCAUUUGCUACUCUGUUGAUAUUAUCCUUAAGUACAGACUCUCAGAAAACUCAGAAGUUGAGUAAUUCAUUGCAAUUUACUAAAUAUCAGAAGAUGAGAAAUAAUAUUAAAACCAAGAUCAUUUCUUCAAAAACUCAAGGGAAAAAAAUUCUUAAGUUGGUAAUGCACUAAAUAUCAGAAGAUGAGCAAUUGAUCAUGCUGAAUUGCUUAAUCUUUAAAACGCAUGAGAACUGGAAAGGCACAAUAUAAACUUCAAUGAUGGUUAAGAAGCAAAAUCUGUUUGGAAAUUACCGGUUAAGAAUGGCAGCAGAUUUGGCCCAAAGAAAAAGAAUCGUAAGAAGGAGGAGAAGAACACUAGAGACAAGCGACAACAGAGUGUAACCCGAUCUCCCAAACACCACCCAGGAAGCUAGAGCUACUAACAAUAUCCCAACAGUUACAUUCUUUCGUCUCCAUAGUAUGAUAUCUGCAACAAAUCCUCCUCCAAAGAUCUCAUGAACGGUUUUCUGCCUGUUAAACAAUCGAUUCGAUGAACCCAUUCAGACAGAAUUUUUCACAGCAGAAUCUUGAAUCCAGUUAAGAUCCCUAAAAACCCACCAAGAACUUGAAGGAAAGAAGAAGAAGAGGUGGCUUUCGUGGGACGAUCUUCUAAAAAAAGAAAGAAAUCGGUUGUUCAAGCGUUUUCAUCUAUAAAUAUAAUGCAGUAUUGCAGUAGAAUGAGGUGCCAUGAUAAUGCUAAAGAUGUGUGAUUGGUGAUGGUGGUCUCAAGACUCAAGUUCCAGCCUAAAAAGCGUCAAACCGCCCGUAGUUUUUUCUAGCUUUUCAGCUCCCUUUUUUUUUUGGCACCCAAAAAAUAAAAAUGCGAAUGUAUUAAUAUUAAUAUUAAUAAUUAUACAAAGACAUUCCCUCAUGCGCAGUGACUCUGUCUCUGCGACUCUCUGUGCACGAGCAUUCGACUAAUCAGCAAUUGCUCCCGUGGGCUGUGGCUUUUUUAAUCUUCAACAGGGUUGAACAGAUCAGAACAUUAUUGGAGGGGUUGGGAGGGGGCGGCUGGAAGGGAAUACUUGCUCUUCUAUAGUGGCAUAGUCAAGAAAUCAUCAUCAUAUGCCCAAAUUUGGUCCCAAAUUCAAUCCCAACCAGCCCAGGGUAGGGAUGAGAUGGGUUUACUGAAAGAGGCAACGCGAG